GUCCCUGUAGUGCAAUGGGUAUCACGUUGGACUUCUAAUCCAAAAGCCGUGGGUUCGAAUCCCACAUGGGAUG